UACAGAGGGUGCGAGCGUUGUCCGGAAUCACUGGGCGUAAAGGGCGCGUAGGUGGUGACCUAAGCGUGCGGUGAAAGCCCGAGGCUCAACCUCGGGUCGGCCGUGCGAACUGGGUCACUGGAGCAGAAUAGAGGCAGGUGGAAUUCCGGGUGUAGCGGUGGAAUGCGUAGAGAUCCGGAAGAACACCGGUGGCGAAGGCGGCCUGCUGGGACAGUGCUGACGCUGAGGCGCGACAGCGUGGGGAGCAAACAGG
rnacentral:rRNA from 1 species